UGUCAGCCGCCGCGGUAAUACGUAGGGUGCAAGCGUUGUCCGGAAUCAUUGGGCGUAAAGAGCGUGUAGGCGGCCCGAUUAGUCCGCUGUGAAAGUCCAGGGCUCAACCCUGGAAUGCCGGUGGAUACUGUCGGGCUCGAGUCCGGAAGAGGCGAGUGGAAUUCCUGGUGUAGCGGUGAAAUGCGCAGAUAUCAGGAAGAACACCAACGGCGAAGGCAGCUCGCUGGGACGGUACUGACGCUGAGACGCGAAAGCGUGGGGAGCAAACAGGAUUAGAUACCCUGGUAGUCCACGCCGUAAACGAUGGGUACUAGGUGUGGGGGGUGUCGACUCCCCCCGUGCCGAAGCUAACGCAUUAAGUACCCCGCCUGGGGAGUACGGCCGCAAGGCUAAAACUCAAAUAAAUUGACGG
rnacentral:rRNA from 1 species